rnacentral:rRNA from 1 species
GACGAACGCUGGCGGCGUGCUUAACACAUGCAAGUCGAACGGAAAGGCCCUGCUUUUGUGGGGUGCUCGAGUGGCGAACGGGUGAGUAACACGUGAGUAACCUGCCCUUGACUUUGGGAUAACUUAAGGAAACUGGGGCUAAUACCGGAUAGGAGAUCCUGCUGCAUGGUGGGGGUUGGAAAGUUUCGGCGGUUGGGGAUGGACUGGCGGCUUAUCAGCUUGUUGGUGGGGUAGUGGCUUACCAAGGCUUUGACGGGUAGCCGGCCUGAGAGGGUGACCGGGCACAAUGGGACUGAGGUACGGCCCAGACUCCAACGGGAGGCAGCGGUGGGGAAUAUGGCACAGUGGGCGGGAGCGUGAUGCAGCGACGCCGCGUGCGGAAUGACGGCCUUCGGGUUGUGAACCGCUUUCGCCUGUGACGAAGCGUGAGUGACGGUAAUGAGUAAAGAGGCACCGGCUAACUACGUG